AUUGAACGCUGGCGGCAGGCUUAACACAUGCAAGUCGAGCGGGGGAAGGUAGCUUGCUACCGGACCUAGCGGCGGACGGGUGAGUAAUGCUUAGGAAUCUGCCUAUUAGUGGGGGACAACAUCUCGAAAGGGAUGCUAAUACCGCAUACGUCCUACGGGAGAAAGCAGGGGAUCUUCGGACCUUGCGCUAAUAGAUGAGCCUAAGUCGGAUUAGCUAGUUGGUGGGGUAAAGGCCUACCAAGGCGACGAUCUGUAGCGGGUCUGAGAGGAAGAUCCGGCACACUGGGGCUGGGGCCACGGCCCGACUCCUGAGGGAGGCAGCAGUGGGGAAUAUUGGACAAUGGGGGGAAACCUGAUCCAGCCAUGCCGCGGGUGUGAAGAAGGCCUUAUGGGUGUAAAGCACUUUAAGCGAGGGGGAGGCUACUUUAGUUAAUACCUAGAGAUAGUGGACGUUACUCGCAGAAUAAGCACCGGCUAACUCUGUGCCAGCCGCAGUAACAC
rnacentral:rRNA from 1 species